UUGUUUUGGCAGAUUAGUGCAUUGAAUUUAGAAUUCAUAUAUGUAAUUAUUAUUACAGAUAAUA
rnacentral:tRNA from 1 species